CGUCGAUGGAUUUCUCGCAGCUUGGCUACCUGUUGCUUUGGAUCCGGUUCAGCAGCGGGCAAUGCUCAAGACAGAGUUGGGCGCACAUCAUAUAUAUACAUAUGUUGUCGUGUCUUAAUAAAUGGAGAUGAGCAGAAGUAGAGAUGAGAUAUCUAUCCGACUGUCAUCCUUCCAAGACUUGGGUUUGUCAUCUCUGUCAGCGUCCGCCUCCGCUUCCUUUGUUGGUUGUCGUUUCUUUGUACACUGCUGUAGUUUAGAGAUCAUAAUAUAUUUUCCAUGGAUACAAUUGAAUACGACACCCAAUUUGCUAUAUAAUUGUUCAGCUCUCUCUCAUAGCGAUUCAUACAAAAUAUCAUGCAUAGUGGUCCCAGCUUAAGUAGAAUAUAACCAUUGGAUUGUUCAAACUUUGCUCGUGUUUCGCAGGGCACCAUAACUCUAAUCUGACAUGAGCAGUGCAACCACGACAGUGAGCAGUGGAACCGCAAGAUAGAGAUAGAUACAAGUAGAAUAUAACUGGUCAUAUUUAUAAAAUGAUCACACUACUUAUGGUGCCGGAAGAGAAGGCAUCAGUGAUAGUGGGCUUGGUGAUGAGGGCAUCAAUACGAAGAGAUUAAUUCACAACUUUGUUCUUGAUAGGUUGUAC